rnacentral:rRNA from 1 species
AAACAUGUCUCUUUGUGUGUUAUAAAUAAAGAGUCGGGCCUGCUCGGUGAAUAAUUGUUUUAACAGCUGCGGUAUUUUAACUGUACUAAGGUAGCAUAAUAAUUUGCCUUAUAAUUUGAGGCUAGAAUGAAUGGUUUGACGAAGGUUAAUCUGUCUCUAUUCUAUUUUUUAGAAAUUAAUUUUUAAAGUGAAAAAGCUUAUAUUUUUUAAAGGGACGAGAAGACCCUAUUGAGCUUAUAAUUUUAUUACUAUUAUUAUUAUAUGUGUGUAGUAGUAUAUAAAUUUUAAUUGGGGUGAUUAGGGAAUAAAAUAAUAAAUAUAGUAACUUCCUUAGAAUUAAUAUUGUUGGGUAAAGUAACCAAUAUUAUUGCUUAUAUUAUAGUUACCAUAGGGAUAACAGCGUAAUUUAUUUAGAGAGUUCUUAUUAAAAAAUGAGAUUGCGACCUCGAUGUUGGAUUAAAGUAACCUUAAGGUGCAGAAGNUUAAUAGGUAA